rnacentral:ribozyme from 1 species
AGCAAUUCCUCGUUAAAACGGGUGUGGAUCCGAUACGUCUAGAUGGUUAACAUAGGCUCUCCACCCCUUACUCCUACAAAAUAUGUCCCCGUCGUACAGAACGGUAACAUGUGUCUCAAUUAUCCAAGCUUGGGGCAAUCCAACCUCUUGGGCGGAAAUUGAGACGCGGACUUACGAUUGAAAGGU